rnacentral:sRNA from 1 species
CAAAAAACAUGUGUUUUCUGUUUUCUUGAGUAUAUAUAUACACCUAGGAGUAAAAUUGCUGAGUCAUAUGGUAAUUCGGUGUGUAGCUUUUGAGGAACUGUCAAGUUUUUGCCCACAGGGCUAUACCAUUUUACAUGGCCACCUGCAAUGUACGAGGGUUCCAGUUUCUCCACAUCUCACCAACACUUGUUAUAACCAUGCUAGUGGGGUGUGAAAGGACUAUUGCUUUUUGCUAAAGUAUGUAAAUGAAAGAUACAGUUCAGUAUUGAUAGCAUAUUGCCACAGAAUUGGUGGGGAAAUCAGUGGAUUUCAAUAUUGGUUUAUAUGUUCUAGGAGGAUGGACUCAGACAAGUUCUGGAGGAGAUGAAAGCUUUGUACGAACAAAACCAGUCUGAUGUGAAUGAAGCAAAGUCAGGUGGACGAAGUUAUUUGAUACCAACUAUCAAAUUUCGACACUGUUCUCUGUUAAGAAAUCGACGCUGCACUGUAGCAUACCUGUAAGCUUCUCAGUUUUUGCUUGGGGGGGCAGGAUUUUCUUUGU